rnacentral:rRNA from 1 species
UAUCUGCCAGCAGCCGCGGUAAUACGUAGGGUGUGAGCGUUAAUCGGAAUUACUGGGCGUAAAGCGUGCGCAGGCGGUUUUGUAAGCCAGAUGUGAAAUCCCCGGGCUUAACCUGGGAAUGGCAUUUGGGACUGCAAGGCUGGAGUUUGGCAGAGGAGACUGGAAUUCCUGGUGUAGCAGUGAAAUGCGUAGAUAUCAGGAGGAACACCGAUGGCGAAGGCAGGUCUCUGGGCUGAAACUGACGCUCAUGCACGAAAGCGUGGGGAGCAAACAGGAUUAGAUACCCUGGUAGUCCACGCCCUAAACGAUGUCGACUGGUUGUUGGGGGUUUGACACUCUCAGUAACGAAGCUAACGCGUGAAGUCGACCGCCUGGGGAGUACGGCCGCAAGGUUAAAACUCAAAGGAAUUGACG